CAGGAUGCUGUUUCUACAGCGUGGAAACAAUUGCGUCGCGUGCUACUUCUCGCCGACGUGUUGCUCCCGUGUAUUCGGAACACUGUCUGCGCCGUUUCGGUGAGUGCACGCGUCAAAGGAGUUCGACCGCAGCGAAGGACAACGGCUGCCGCCGGCACUGGCCACACUGGGAGACGAGCGUGGCGGGAAUCGGAGGGCCCGCGAUGGGAGGAAGACACCGUUCCGUGUACGCCACGAAGCGAAGAGGGCCUUGGAACUCCAUGGAGGUGCUGAUCCUGAGGCUGGAAAGUCGGCCGGGCCUCGUCUCGCUUCUGUACGCACCAUUCAAA